rnacentral:misc_RNA from 1 species
AUUUAAUUUUAAAUAUUUUUUAAUUCUCUCUAAAACUUAUUAAAUUUAUUUUUCUCAUCAACAGUUUGAACAUUAAUGUCAAAUAGACCCUUAAAAGGGAGAAAAAAGGGGGAAACAUCUACUGUGCAAUUUUUUCUUCAUAUCUGUCCCUUUUGAGUAUAGUGUUCUGGCAUGGACAGAGUGAAAAUCUUGUAGAAGCUUAGUGAUAUAUCAAGCUUAUUGAGCUUGAUGGUAUUUGUCCUUCCAACAUGUACUUAUGGUGUUUUGGGUUUAAAACAGGAGUUUCUAGAAGAUGGGAGUGGAAAACUGGUAUGAUUGAUGGUUUUCUGGAUUGAAAAAAUAGGAAGAAAUAAAUAGCGUCAAAUGAACCACCUUUUUGGUCAUUAAGAGAAUUGAUGGAAAGAGAGAUAUUUCUAUACUCAACUCAACUCAGAGUUUAUUCCAAAAAUUUGGGGUUGGCUAUAUAGAUUCUUUUUCUACACUCUAAACGAUUUUAAUAUUUCUAAGUUAUGUUA